UGUUAGUGGUCAUCAGUGGUCAUUGAUGGUCACCAACGGUCAACCAUAGUCAUUGAUGGUCACCAAUGGUCAACCAUAGUCAUUGAAGGUCAUCGAUGGUCAUCAAUGAUCAUCAAUGAUCAUUAAUGGUCAACCAAGGCCAUUGAAGGUCAUCAAUGGUCAACCAAAGUCAUUAGCGGUCAUCAAUGGUCAGCCGCGCCUGGCCGAAGGGGACACGCAGUCAGCGUUGGUCACCAAUGGUCACCAGUGGUCAUCAAUGGUCAUCAAUGGUCAACCAUAGUCAUUGAAGGUCAUUAUUGGUCAUCAAUGGUCAACCAAGACCAUCAAGGGUCAUCAAUAGUCAUCAAUGGUCAUCAAUAGUCAACCGAGGCCAUUGAAGGUCAUCAAUGGUCAUUGUUGGUCAUUGAAGGUCAUUAAUGGUCAACCAAGAUCAUCAAUGAUCAUCAAUAGUCAUCAAUGAUCAUCAAUGGUCAGCCGGGCCUGGCUGGAGGGGACACGCGGUCAUCGUUGGUCAUCAGUGGUCAUCAAUGGUCAAUCACAGUCAUUAGUGGUCAUUAAUGGUCAUUAGCAGUCAACCAAGGUCAUUAAUAGUCAUCAAUGGUCAUCAAUGGUCAGCCAGGCCUGGCCGGAGGGGAUACGCGGUCAUCGUUGGUCAUCAGUGGUCAUCAGUGGUCAUUGAAGAUCAUCAAUGGUCAACCAAGGUCAUUGAAAGUCAUUAUUGGUCAACCACGGUCAUUGUUGGUCAUCAGUGAUCAUCAAUGGUCAUCAAUGGUCAACCAAAGUCAUUGAAGGUCAUCAAUGGGCAUCAAAAGUCAUCAAUGGUCAAGCAAGGUCAUUGAAGGUCAUCAAUGGUCAACCAUGGUCAUCAAUGGUCAUCAAUGGUCAAUCAAGGUCCUUGAAGGUCAUCAAUGGUCAACCAAGGUCAUGAAUGGUCAACCAAGGCCUUAAAUGGUCUCCUAAUAUCAUUAAUGGUCAGCCAAGGUAAUUAAUGGUCAUCAAUGAUCAUCAAUGGUCAACCAAGAUUAUUGAAGGUCAUCAGUGGUAAACCAUGGUCAUUAAUAGUCAUCAAUGGUCAUCAAUGCUCAGCCGCGCCUGGCCGGAGGGGACACGCGGUCAUUGUUGGUCAUCAACAGUCAUCAGUAGUCAUUGAAGGUCAUCACUGCUCAACCACGGUCAUNGACCAUGGGUGGUCAUUGGUGGUCAUUGGUCACCAAGGAUGGACAUUGGUGACCAUGGGUGGUCAUUGGUGGUCAUUGGUCACCAAGGAUGGACACUGGAUGACCAUGGAUGGUCAUUGGUGGUCAUUGGUCACCAAGGAUGACCAUAAAUGGUCAUAAAUCACCAAAUUAUGGACACUGGGUGACCACGCGUGGUCAUUGGUGGUCAUUGGUCACCAAGGCUGGACAUUGGAUGACCAUGGGUGGUCACAGAUCACCAAGAGAUGAACAUUGGUGACCAUGCAUGGUCAUUGGUGGCCGUAAUCACCAGGAAUGGACACUGGAUGACCAUAAAUGGUUGUAGAUCACCAAAUUAUGGACACUGGAUGACCACGGGUGGUCAUUGGUGACCACGGAUGGUCACUGAUGACCACGGCCACCAGGAACACCCCCGUCUCAGCUGAUGUAGAUGCGGUGGAAGUCGUGGUCACCAAGGCUGGACACUGGAUGACCACGGAUGGUCACAAAUCACCAAAGACGGACGUUGGAUGACCAUAGAUGGUCACAGGACACCAAAGGAUGGACACUGGAUGCAUGGUCACUGGUGGCCAUGGUCACCAAAGAUGGACAUUGGUGACCAUGGGUGGUCAUUGGUGGCCAUGGUCACCAAGAAUGACCAUAAAUAACCACAGAUAACCACAAAUGACCACAAAUGACCAAUGGCCACCAGGAAUGACCAUUGUCCUUGUGGUGGGUCACCAAGAGAUGAACAUCGGAUGACCAUAAAUGGUCAUCAAUCACCAAGGGAUGAACAUUGGAUAACCAUGGAUGGUCAUAAAUAACCAAAUUAUGGACAUUGGAUGACCGCGGGUGGUCGUUGAAGUGACCACGGAUGGUCACUGAUGACCACAAGUGGUCACUGAUGAUCAUGGCCACCAGGAACGGCGCCAUCUCAGCUGAUGUAGACGCGGUGGAAGUCGUGGGCGCCGAAGGCCGCGUUGCAUUUCGGGCACUUCCUCUGGCGCGUGUCGUAGCGGCUCUUGACGCACUCGAAGCAGAAGACGUG
ensembl:lncRNA